UUCGUGUAGAAUUUAUCUUUUUCAGCAGGGUCAGCUUGGAGAGUUGGGGUGUAUAUACUAAAGAGGACAAUGUGUUGCUUGUUGUGUAGUGGAAGAUGUAGGGAGAUAAUUUGGUCAGAACGUCCUGUUGGCAGAUUUUCGAGUUUAGGAACAAUAGAGUUUUUGAUCAUGAAGCCGACUCCUGAGAGAUGCCUUUUGGUUCUGGGCUUACCUGACCGAAAGAGUGUGUAACCGGCACCAUGUUCUCUGAGGCUGCCUUCCUCGUGAAGGCGAACUUCGCUAAGAGCAGCAAUGCCAAUGUUGAGACAUGACAGUUCAUGGACAACUAGGGCAGAGCGACGCUCAGGACAUCCGCUAUCUGCCGAAUCGAGCAUGGUUCUGAUGUUCCAGCAUGCUAGAGUUAAUUUGGGUACACCUUUGGAGGUAGGUGUAUGCCUUUGUUUUUUGAUCUUUGUGUGACUGCAUUUGUAGAAGAUGUCGCUACAGGGCUUUGCAAAUGCGGGUAAGGCCUUCGAGCCUGCGCAAUGGAUUUUUAGGUGAGAUGCAGUAUGCGCAGAACUGAACCCACCCUUUAAUCCUAAGGUUCAUCUGCCAGGGCCGAGCGAGCUUGGACGGUGGCAGCGAGGUCCUCAGGACGUAGGUUUGUUUAGUGACCUUCUCUUAGAUGGAUGGCCUUACAGGGCUGACGAGUUCCAUCUGCCCGGAGGAGUUCCCUGACCGGGAGAGUGCCGCAUCCUAACCACUAGACCACCAGGGGGCCCCUAUGGCUCUGGUAGAGUAAAUAAAUAUGAAAAUAUGAAUUUCAGAGAACUGACCUGCCUCUCCUCCAGCAGAGGCAAAGAGUAGGGCUAGGGUCUUCAGGGAUGAUUUCUGAUACAGCCCCACCACCGUUUCAUUCAGAGGGUCCUUGUUCUUGUCAAGCCACCCAGUGAUGUUGUAGUCCACUGUGCCAGCGUAGUGCACCAGGGAGAAGUGGGCCUCAGCCUUGCCUUUGCCAGGCUUGGGCUUCUGGAAGUUGUUGGACUUGCCCAGGUGCUGGUCAUAGAGCUUGUUCUUGAAAGAGGUGUCAGUUGCCUUGGGGAACAUGCACUCCUCUUCCAGGAUGGAGAAGAUGCCCAUGGGCUGGAAGAAGCACAAGGAAGAAGGAAGAUGUGAAAAGGCAGAAAGACUGACAGAUAAAAUAAAUUCCUGAGGGGGACAAUAUUACUGCUCUCAGGGAUUGUUCUUCCACUCAGCAAAUUGUAAAAUAAUCUAAACUUAUGUGUUUGCAAUAUUUACCCUUUCCAUCUACAUCUAUAAAUAUAUAUAAAAUUAAUGCAUUUCUAAAAAUACUUCACAUUGUGAAUUAGAGAAAUACCUUCUCAAUGAGCUCAAUGCAGGCAGCCAGGUCCAUCCCAAAGUCAAUAAACUCCCAUUCAAUUCCCUCCUUCUUGUACUCCUCCUGCUCCAGCACAAACAUGUGAUGGUUGAAGAACUGUUGCAGUUUUUCAUUGGUGAAGUUGAUGCACAGCUGCUCCAGGCUGUUGAA